rnacentral:rRNA from 1 species
CUAGCUUGCUAGAUGCUGACGAGCGGCGGACGGGUGAGUAAUGCAUAGAAAUCUGCCCGAUAGUGGGGGAUAACCUGGGGAAACCCAGGCUAAUACCGCAUACGUCCUACGGGAGAAAGGGGGCUCCGGCUCCCGCUAUGGGAUGAGCCUAUGUCGGAUUAGCUAGUUGGUGAGGUAACGGCUCACCAAGGCGACGAUCCGUAGCUGGUCUGAGAGGAUGAUCAGCCACAUCGGGACUGAGACACGGCCCGAACUCCUACGGGAGGCAGCAGUGGGGAAUAUUGGACAAUGGGCGAAAGCCUGAUCCAGCCAUGCCGCGUGUGUGAAGAAGGCCCUCGGGUUGUAAAGCACUUUCAGCGAGGAAGAACGCCUAGCGGUUAAUACCCGCUAGGAAAGACAUCACUCGCAGAAGAAGCACCGGCUAACUCCGUGCCAGCAGCCGCGGUAAUACGGAGGGUGCAAGCGUUAAUCGGAAUUACUGGGCGUAAAGCGCGCGUAGGUGGCUUGAUAAGCCGGUCGUGAAAGCCCCGGGCUCAACCUGGGAACGGCAUCCGGAACUGUCAAGCUAGAGUGCAGGAGAGGAAGGUAGAAUUCCCGGUG